GUCAAAUACGCAUUUGUGUGAAUGCGUGUGACGCCUUCGGUUGUUCCAACACGUACACCGAUGCCGGUGAGGGACACCAUACGUGCCGUAUUUUUUCAUACACCAGCGCAUCUACGUCUUUGGCCCACAUAAAGUCGGCGUGAUUGAAUUUGGGAAAUGGCACUCUGUAGUCUUCCACUAUAUUGUUAAUACAAAAGGACAUUAAACCAGCAUGUGUCGUAUAUCUCUUCAGUAGUAGAAAAAUGCAAAUCAACGAAAGAUAGAAAGUUAUUCAAGAAAUUAUAAUAACUAAGAAAAAGUCAAGUUCAGCAAUAUAUAAUGAGCCCUACAAAAGAAAGCAAG